CACGAUUAAUUUUUUGAUCACAAUUUAAUCAAUUGUGAGUUGUAGUCACAAUUUGACCAAUUAUUAGUUACCAUCUAUCAAAUAAUUGGUCACAAGCAUUCAACCCCAUCUCUCCCCAACCACAACCAUUGCACGAUCAUCACUAUCACCAUUACCGCCGCGACCACAAGAGAGCCCUUCUUCAACAGAGCCGCCACCACCACUUCAUGACAACCUGUCAAUACCAGAAAUUUUUCGUCGAAAAAUUCACGCGGUACGAAAAAACUAAAAAAUCAAAUUGAAAAAAAAAGUUCUCAAUUUACAGAAUCUAAAAAUACUACUUUUUGUAGCUACGAUCUGGAAAACAAGGCAGAAUGCAUAAUCUAAUUAUACAUGAUAACUACCGAGGGCAAUAUACGAUAUGAAAACGAGUGAGUCCCUCUCAACGGCAUCUUCUGUGGAAAGACGGGUGAUGUUGCUGUUAUUGAUGGCUGCCUGGUAUGCACCCAAGUAGAAAACUGUUCUUUAAUCCAAACAACGGAUCCGGUCCUCCUGUUGCCAAUUUUGCAUAUGUCAGAUCUGUCAAAAAAAAUUAUGGGAGAAAUGUUGAGAGAGAUGUAGAGAGAGUAGUGGGAAUUAAUUAGGUAGAAAUGUAGAGAGAGAUUCAGUCAUGAAUUCACUUUUGAUCUGUGGGAGAAAUGGAGAGAGAGUAG
rnacentral:lncRNA from 1 species